CAGUAGCGUAUAUUAAAGUUGUUGCAGUUAAAAUGCUCGUAGUUGAAGUUCGGAUGCAGCAGAGCUUGGAAACGCUGUUAUGGUGCUUCCGUUGCUUUUGCUUGUCCACAGUGCGUUGCAAGUACGUAUGUGCUUGUGCGUGCAUUUUACUUUGAGAAACAUAGGGUGUUCCACGCAUGUUACGGCAUGAAUAUUCCAGCAUGGGAUAAUCUGGUACGACUUCCAAUCUGCCAUUUUGGUUCGUAGGUUGGAAGUAAUGAUUAAUAGGGACUGUCGGGGGCAUUGGUAUUUGACUGUCAGAGGUGAAAUUCUUAGAUGCGUUGAGGACCAACCACUGCGAAAGCAUUUGUCAAGGAUGUCUCCAUUAA
rnacentral:rRNA from 1 species